rnacentral:rRNA from 1 species
UACGAAGGGGGCUAGCGUUGCUCGGAAUCACUGGGCGUAAAGGGUGCGUAGGCGGGUCUUUAAGUCAGGGGUGAAAUCCUGGAGCUCAACUCCAGAACUGCCUUUGAUACUGAAGAUCUUGAGUUCGGGAGAGGUGAGUGGAACUGCGAGUGUAGAGGUGAAAUUCGUAGAUAUCGAGAGGAACACCGGUGGCGAAGGCGGCCAACUGGACGAAGACUGACGCUGAGACACGAAAGCGUGGGGAGCAAACAGG